rnacentral:rRNA from 1 species
UACGUAGGGGGCUAGCGUUGUCCGGAAUCAUUGGGCGUAAAGCGCGUGUAAGCGGCCCGGUAAGUCCGCUGUGAAAGUCGGGGGCUCAACCCUCGAAAGCCGGUGGAUACUGUCGGGCUAGAGUACGGAAGAGGCGAGUGGAAUUCCUGGUGUAGCGGUGAAAUGCGCAGAUAUCAGGAAGAACACCGAUGGCGAAGGCAGCCCCCUGGGCUGACACUGACGCUCAGGCACGAAAGCGUGGGGAGCAAACAGG